CCUACGGGAGGCUGCAGUGAGGAAUAUUGGUCAAUGGGCGCAAGCCUGAACCAGUCAAGUCGCGUGAGGGAUGACGGUCCUAUGGAUUGUAAACCUCUUUUGUCGGGGAGCAAGGCCCGCCACGUGUGGCGGGAAGGAGAGUACCCGAAGAAAAAGCAUCGGCUAACUCCGUGCCAGCAGCCGCGGUAAUACGGGGGAUGCGAGCGUUAUCCGGAUUUAUUGGGUUUAAAGGGUGCGUAGGCGGAAGGUUAAGUCAGCGGUCAAAUGUCGGUGCUCAACACCGGCCUGCCGUUGAAACUGGUCGUCUUGAGUGAGCGAGAAGUAUGCGGAAUGCGUGGUGUAGCGGUGAAAUGCAUAGAUAUCACGCAGAACUCCGAUUGCGAAGGCAGCAUACCGGCGCUCAACUGACGCUGAGGCACGAAAGCGUGGGGAUCGAACAGGAUUAGAUACCCUAGUAGUC
rnacentral:rRNA from 1 species